ACCUUUGACAUGUACGGAACUUGCCAGAGGAAUGGCUUGGUGCUCGAAAGAGAGCCGUAACACAGGUGCUGCAUGGCUGUCGUCAGCUCGUGUCGUGAGAUGUUGGGUUAAGUCCCGCAACGAGCGCAACCCUUGCCAUUAGUUGCUACGAAAGGGCACUCUAAUGGGACUGCCGGUGAUAAACCGGAGGAAGGUGGGGAUGACGUCAAGUCCUCAUGGCCCUUAUAGGUGGGGCUACACACGUCAUACAAUGGCUGGUACAAAGGGUUGCCAACCCGCGAGGGGGAGCUAAUCCCAUAAAACCAGUCGUAGUCCGGAUCGCAGUCUGCAACUCGACUGCGUGAAGUCGGAAUCGCUAGUAAUCGUGGAUCAGAAUGUCACGGUGAAUACGUUCCCGGGUCUUGUACACACCGCCCGUCACACCAGUGGGAGCGGGUUCUGCCAGAAGUAGUUAGCCUAACCGCGAAGGAGGGCGAUUACCACGGCAGGGUUCGUGACGUGGGGUGAAGUCGUAACAAGGUAAGCGUAGAUGA
rnacentral:rRNA from 1 species